rnacentral:rRNA from 1 species
UACGGAGGGUGCAAGCGUUAUCCGGAUUCACUGGGUUUAAAGGGUGCGUAGGUGGGCAAGUAAGUCAGUGGUGAAAUCUCCGGGCUUAACCCGGAAACUGCCAUUGAUACUAUUUGUCUUGAAUACUGUGGAGGUCAGCGGAAUAUGUCAUGUAGCGGUGAAAUGCUUAGAUAUGACACAGAACACCAAUUGCGAAGGCAGCUGGCUACACAAAUAUUGACACUGAGGCACGAAAGCGUGGGGAUCAAACAGGA